CAUCUUAUUCUUCAUGACAAACAUUUACAUGUGUAUUCAUAAUUCACAACAUGGUCGAUUAUUUCUCAAACUCUAAUCCAGGAAUUUGUGAUAAAAAUGGUGAGAAAAAUGAUUUAAAAAAUUCUAUUAAUCCAUCAUUGAAAAAACAAGAUCAAAUUUUGUCUCCUGAAGAUGUAGCCUCUGAUACUUUGACAAGUCUUUUCAGUGAAACUGCAGGAUGUUUAAGCAACCAGCGAUAUAUCAAAACACCUAUCAUUCGGCUAUCAACGAAUCAAACAUAUACUUCAAUUGCAUCUUCCUCAAGUCAAAUUAGUCCAAAUUUCCAACGUAAAUCUAUUGUACAUCGACAUGUUUCACCUCACCCACCAAUAUUUAGACAAGGAAUCACUGAAACAGAUACUUUCAAAUCUGUAAGAAAAACAAGAUCCAUGGUAUUUCCUAAAAGUGUGACAUUUUUGUAAUAUCAUACAUUAACAGAUAUGAUACUAAUUGAUGGCAAUAUAUUCUUAUCAAUCUAAAACUAUACAGUAAUGAAUACAGCUUGGUAUAGAAGUAGCUCUGCUUCCACUCCAGAUUUAAAAGUUGAUCAUCAAAAAACACUAUUUGUAACAACAUCACCUAAAGAAAAUACAAAAUGGCAAAGUGUGUAUAGAAUAUGGACUUUAAUAUAUAAUAUGCAUGUAAUAGAGAUUACUCUUGAUUGUAUUAUUUUGGUGGGUAGAAUGUCCAAUAAUUCUUUGACAUAUAUUAUAUAAUUAUUAUCUUUAGGUUGCAGGAUUUAUACAUUUAGCUGCAGGUAUAAUUCUGGCUAUACACAAAAACAUUAUAUUGACAAUAGUGAAACAAGAAAUACAUACUUUAAUAAGAACAACUUUUAUUAUUGUAUCCUUAGUACUCUUGAUCUAUUCUAUUAUCGCACUUUAUUUCCUUCACAAAGGACGACAAAAAAGAGCAAUAGUUGGUGGCAAUAUAAGCUUUACAUCUUAUUUUUUUCGUAUUAAACACCUAUUUCCUUCUUUUAGCAUGCAGCUUCUUCUUUAAUUAUGGCAUUAGUUAUGCUAUUCAUUGCUUCCAUGCAAAAUAGAGUAGAAACUAAUCUUUUAAAUAAUGUGGAAAUGAAUAUGCUCUCAAUGAUUAAUUCCAAGACAAUACACUUUUCUUCAUCUACUUUGGAUACAUUUCAUAUAAUGUUUAAAUGCUGCGGAGCAAAAGGCAAUUUGGAUUGGUGUAAAAACGAAAAAUUUCUUAAGGGAAUCAAUUUCAAAACUGAUCAAAUGAAUUCUAUAAAUCUUUUAGGUCUUUACAUUUGCCAUAUCCCGAUAUCUUGUUGUGCAUCAUCUAUCGACGAAUAUAAUUCAAAAAUCAUGCUCAUCAUACCCAACACCGUGGAAUACCUAUCGUCCUGGAUGUUUAACACCAUUAAAACUUGAAGUAUAUUACAUGGGUACAUUAUACAGGGUUAUAUGCUUCACGACUAUCAUAGUAUUGCUUUUAUCUAUGGCAUCUUCAAUACUUCUCUGCAUUUAUCCGUAAAGUAAUCAUAGUAUGAAGUAUAAAAAACAAUCGCAUAAUAUAAAAAAAUUACGAAAAAAAGAAAUUUUUCUUAAUAUAAAAUUUGUAUCAAUGUGUGUGGCAUAAAGGAAAAGACAUCCCGUUCUAAUAACUAGGUUAUUAUCAUUUACGUAGAAAAUAUAACACGUCUAAUGUAAAUCUAAUUGAUUUAUAAACGAAAAAUUAUAUAA